rnacentral:snoRNA from 1 species
CCGCGAAUGUUCUUGCUCUUCCGAUAUUUUGAUAAUCCAGGAAGGCUAAACACUCACUAUUAUUAAGACCAUAUACGUGUCCCCAGACCUAGUUCUUUUCCUAGGUCUGGUUUUAUAAACGCUGGUGAUAAAC